AUGCUGUCACUCCCUGAACUUGUGAACAUAGACCGUCACUACAGUUUUUGGAAUGCUACUAGGAUAGAUCCGGUUAGGAAAACAGUCAGGCUCGGUGAUGGCAGUUCUCGGCUGGUGACGGCUAACGCUGUUAGGGAUGUAGUAGGUCUGGGGACGAGUGACAGGGAGAUUCCCUUCCCCCAUGAGCCUAGCUGCGUCGAUCGUGAUAUCUUCAGGGACGUGUGUGCCGGUUUGGGACUAGAUGAGACGCUGGAUAAGAUAAGCUUGCAAAUGCUGCGGUCCGUGCUUGCUUCCCCAGGUGAUCUAAGUGUCGAUUUUGAGUCUAACCGGCAAUGUGCUGCAUUUGUUCUCCUUUGCACUGCUUGCUUGUUCAAUCCUAGAGUGAAUCGGAAGGACGACCCGAUCAGCCCGGAAGUGUUCGUUGCUGUGCGUGAUCCAUCGAAGAUGUUUGAGUUUGAUUGGUGUGGAUACAUAAAAGUUGUUAUCAUGGCUGGUGUGACUAAGAUGCACGCUGAUCUCAAUGCUGGGGCGACGACGGUUCAGUUGCAAGGGUUCCUGAUGGUUCCUCAGCUAAUCACAUUUGAUGCAAUGGUGGCUGGGCGGGGGUUGCAACCGGGACACCCCCGCAUAACAUUGUACAAGGCUGAGGACUUCCAGCUGCUCGCUGGUUUGGACGCUGAUCGUCGAAGUAUUGGUGGACACAGGCUAUACGGCAAGGCGAGGGUCUGUCGGUGA
rnacentral:rRNA from 1 species